CUCAUGUGGUAGAGCUUAGAAGUAGAAACAGCUCUAUCAACA
rnacentral:sRNA from 1 species